rnacentral:rRNA from 1 species
UACGUAGGUCCCGAGCGUUGUCCGGAUUUAUUGGGCGUAAAGCGAGCGCAGGUGGUUUAUUAAGUCUGGUGUAAAAGGCAGUGGCUCAACCAUUGUAUGCAUUGGAAACUGGUAGACUUGAGUGCAGGAGAGGAGAGUGGAAUUCCAUGUGUAGCGGUGAAAUGCGUAGAUAUAUGGAGGAACACCAGUGGCGAAGGCGAUUCUCUGGACUGUAACUGACGCUGAGGCUCGAAAGCGUGGGGAGCAAACAGG